GCAGGAGCUAGUAAGGAAGACGGUAAGAGUUGCAGGAGCCACAGGAUUUGCAGCGCAAUGCCAUGGGGAAGUCUCUAGAGAGGGGUGGAAGAGAGCAGUCUUUCCUGCAGAUGGGCCAGAAAUGCCUCCAGCCGUGGAUGGAUUAAACAGGCAGCAGAACAGCACUCCAGGUCCACUUCACCUGACUGCCCUGCCCUGGAGGUCGUGAGCCUCCAGCAGAACCUGGAGCUGCCUAAUUCAGGGAUGCUCAUUUGGACCACUGAAGGACCAAAUGAGAGGUACAUUCUGAAGUGUGAUAAUCAGAGCACCAAGGGAAGAAAAAUCAAACUCUGUGUGUGUGUGUUGUGUGUGUGUCUGUAAGAGUCUGAUGCCUGACAACAUGAGCCAUACAUGCCCCUAAGGAACCUGGGCUUCUUUUUCUGGUUUGCAUGGAUGACUGACAUCAGAAUCUUGCAAUUGUUUGAGGCUCAUUUCAUGCAUGACGUUGCAGGUAAAAAGGCCUGGGAAGAAGCCCAGACUCGACUUGCCCUAGCUCUGGACUCCCAGGGUGUGCAGGCCCACAUUUGGGUAGGUGUGGACCUCGUGUACUUUAAGUGCACAAAUGACUCCAGAUUUACCUGAUGUGAAUCCAGCUAGUUUCAGACUGCACGGGGGCAGCAGGGCAUACAAGACAUACUUGCAUCCCGGCCAGGGACAGGUGUCGACUCCCCCCUCCCCCUCUCUGCAGGAGGGAUAGGGCAGUGGCCCUUACCUGGUGGCCCCCGGAGUCUCUGCUGGAGGGGAGCAGCCAUCUGGCAAGCCCAGAGAAAUCUGAGGGAAGGGUGCAGCGGGCCCUGAGGGGAGCAGGAGGAGCAUAAGAUGAAUUAUCUGUCAAAGAUGGUGCACAGGUGCUCCUAGCUGAGGGACAAGCUUUGCCCUGUGGACCUGGAGGGAAGAGACAGGAAGGGGAGAGGCGGGAGAACCUUUCCUUUGCAUAGGAAAGAGAAAAAGAGAAGUGGCCAGGCGGGGGACGGGGGAGGGGGGGACUACGACGACCAGCCUUUGCAGAGGCAGGGUUAAGGAUGCAGGUCUUGUUUAUGGAUGGCCUCUCUCAUGCAGAUGUACUUUGUUGUUGCUAGCUGGCAAUAGCUCUACUCAUGCAAGAUACACAUUUGGCACAUGCAUGCAUGCAUGCCCAAAAACUAACAGUCAAAGAAGACAACAGCGCUUCUUCACCGGCUGGCCAGAGGCCUCCAGAGCCUACCUGGAAUGUGGAAAUGCUUAGGAGCCUGGUAUGAGGUUGGUGUAGAAGACCUCACAUCUAACUGGCUAUAGUAGGGGGAGCUGUGACCGCUCUCUGUGCCUUGAAAGAGCGGAUUGGAGGGAGCAGCGGAGGAAGAAAGAGAGAGGCAGAGGAAAAUCGGUGUUAAAAGCAGCCAUAUUAGAAGAAUAGCAAGCCACCUGUGAAUCAGUGGGGGGGGGUGCAUGGAUGGGGAAAGCAGUGGUGGCGGUGGUGGUGACGUGUGCACACCGUGGUGAGGGAGGAGUUCGGGUUCGCAGGCGAAUGGGAGCUGGAGGGCAGUUCCGCAGGUGCCUGUCGUUACUGGCAGUCCUGAGCUAAACCUGGUCCAGGACCGCCAGAAACGCCCCGUCAGGAUUUACCCAGCAGCAGCACUAGUUGGCACCAUGUCUGUCCGGCAAGGACUGUACCAAGGACUUCCUUUUGGCAGACGGCAAGGUUCUGAUGGGAAAAUAUAUUACACAGACUCAAGCUAAUUAGACAGUUCUGCAGGACAUGCUUUUACCGGUGGGUUUUUCCCCCUUGCUGUGCCAUCUUCCUAGCGCAACAAGAAAGAAAGAAAGAAAGAAAGAAAGAAAGAAAGAAAGAAAGAAAGAAAGAAAGAAAGA